rnacentral:rRNA from 1 species
GUGGCUUAAUUUGACUCAACGCGGGAAAUCUUACCGGGUCCGGACACACUGAGGAUUGACAGGCAAUAUAUGUGACUCUUCGGAGUUUGCAUUGUUAAAUAUGCUAGUCCUUUCAUGAUUAUGUGAUAGGUGGUGCAUGGCCGUUCUUAGUUCGUGGAGUGAUCUGUCUGCUUAAUUGCGUUUCAAAUUACUUAUAAGGUAGCAAUACGCGAUGAAGCUUUCAAUAGUCCUCACGGAUUCACUUGAGUCUCUCGCUUCGCUAUCCUUUCGAAUGCAACGAACGUGACCGCAACCUCUUGUUGCCU